rnacentral:rRNA from 1 species
UUUGUAGGCGGCGCUGUUAGUCGGGUGUGAAAUCCCAGGGCUCAACCCUGGAACUGCGCCCGAUACUGCAGUGCUUGAGGGAGACAGAGGUAAGCGGAACUGAUGGUGGAGCGGUGAAAUGCGUUGAUAUCAUCAGGAACACCGGUGGCGAAAGCGGCUUACUGGGUCUCUUCUGACGCUGAGAAACGAAAGCUAGGGGAGGCGAAGG